GCUCUGGCUCGCUGCUCGCGCACACGCGCGCGCUCUCCUCCCUCGCCCCUUUCUUCCCUCUCUCCUCUCUCUCUCCCUCCAUCCCUCUCUUUCCUUCUCAGUUGGUGACUGACCCAGCAGCUCCGUCCCCUGUCUGCCGCAAGCAGUCCGCCUCCUGGUGCUGUGUGCUGCGUGCCAGCCGCUGCUCCCGCUGAGUGGAGACUCUGGCACCAGUGCCCACUGCGCUCUGCCUGCCGGUGGUGUCUGGAUUCCUCUAGGAAUCCCGGGAGGGUCUUACUGGAGGGUUGAGAGCCACCGGAUUGAAGGCGUUUGCGGUCAGAGUAAAGACGGCAGCUGCCGCAGCAUGAACCCCUGAGCUGAUGAGUCUUAUUAUAGCCCGGCUGGCGGAAGACAGAGUGCUGCUAUUCACCUCUGUGUGGGCGUCGGUGGUGCAGGGGGAAGCGGCAGGCCGUCCAGCGGCUCACACCCUACGCGGCUGCAGCUGCCAAGGGCCUGGCCCCUGCCUCCCUCGGGCCAUGGUGAGCUGUGGCGGGGCUGGAGAAACUGGGACCCAGGUGAGGGGAGCCUCCGGGGACAAGUUACAGUUGUGGCCUGUGACCUCACUCUGCUCACCUCGGACAGAUGACCUCAGUUUCUUCACCCGUAACUCAAG
rnacentral:sRNA from 1 species